GACGAAGGGGGCUAGCGUUGUUCGGAAUUACUGGGCGUAAAGCGCGUGUAGGCGGUUAUCCAAGUCGGGUGUGAAAGCCUUGAGCUCAACUCAAGAAAUGCACUCGGUACUGGGUGACUAGAGGACCGGAGAGGAUAGUGGAAUUCCCAGUGUAGUGGUGAAAUACGUAGAGAUUGGGAAGAACACCAGUGGCGAAGGCGGCUAUCUGGACGGUUUCUGACGCUAAGACGCGAAAGCGUGGGGAGCAAACCGG
rnacentral:rRNA from 1 species